rnacentral:rRNA from 1 species
AACGAACGCUGGCGGCGCGCCUAACACAUGCAAGUCGAACGAGAAGCUGUAGCAAUACAGUUGUACAGUGGCGAACGGGUGAGGAAUACAUGGGUGACCUACCCUCGAGUGGGGAAUAACCAGCCGAAAGGUUGGCUAAUACCGCGUACGUUUCCCAGUCUGCGGAUUGGGAAGGAAAGCGAUGCCGUGGGUAUCGCGCUCAAGGUUGGGCUCAUGUCCUAUCAGCNGUUGGUGAGGUAACGGCUCACCAAGGCAACGACGGGUAGCUGGUCUGAGAGGACGAUCAGCCACACUGGCACUGCGACACGGGCCAGACUCCUACGGGAGGCAGCAGUGAGGAAUAUUGCGCAAUGGGCGAAAGCCUGACGCAGCGACGCCGCGUGGGGAUGAAGGUCUUCGGAUUGUAACCCCUUUCGGGAGGGAAGAUGGGACGAGCAAUCGUUCGGACGGUACCUCCAGAGCAGCCACGGCUAACUUCGUGCCA